rnacentral:lncRNA from 1 species
GCUUAUUAAGGUAUUAACUAUUUAAUUUAAAUCAUUUUAAUACCUAAGAUUCAGCUAACAUCCCCCCUAUAAUGAUGUUCUUAGGACUGAAUAUGAUAAAGCCUAUAAAACAAAGAGCUACUAUCAUUUCUUCAUAGAUUGAGAUCUUCUUGGAACUUAAUGCUAUCUUUCAAAACGUCUCAAAUACCUUAGUACAUCUCUAAUGAUUACGAUCAUUUUUUCAUUCUAAACGAUUACACUAAAAUGAGUUUUUCAAAAAUAAUAAUAUUUCAAGUAUAUUCUCACUUACUAUUUUUUUUUAAUUUUUAAAAACACCAUUUAAUUUUUAAUAGUCCCAUAUAUUGAGAAAAAAGAAACAUAAAAAAAUUAGGGAAAUUAUUUUCCAAUGGUACAUCAUUUUGAAAAGAAAAGGAUUAGUUUGAUGUAUUAAUUUAAUAUUCACAAUUUUACUUUUUCCUAGAAAAUGAUGUAAGUAAAAAAAAAAUCCUCAUUUUUUAAAUAUUUCCUCUCAAAAUAAGGGACCAAAAGACAUGGUUUUAAUUGUUAGAUCAUGCAAACCACAAAAAUUAUAAUUUCCUAGGCUCCUAGCUACUUGAACAAAUUGAAUCGUUGUUAAAUUGUUUAUUCAUUAAUUUAUUUUGACCAUGAUUUGAGUAAUUGGCUCAUCGCGUUGGUACUUAAUCGGGUGAUAAAUUGAUAAUGAUACGAUGAAAGACAAUCUCACUUCAAUUACGCAGAAAAUGGACAACGAUCAAUAGAAACAGAGUCACAUGCAGUCAUAUAAUACCACAGAGGCUGGUCCCAUGCGAUAUAAAUAGAUUACAACAAACACUCGUGUAGAGGCACGUGUUCUAUUUGUUCGUGUCUAGGUUCAACGUAUCUGGCAACCAUAAUAAUAAUAAUAACAACAACAAAAAAUUGGUUUUUUAGUAAUUUGCAAAAUGGUCUUGUAUAUUUUAACUGGUUUGUGAAUUGUGAAUCAAUUUUAACACUACAUGAAUAUCGGGUUUUAAUAGCACUAUACAAUAGCGUUUGUAGUCAUUCUGCUAUUGUUAGAGGACCUCUGAACUUUCAAUAGCGUUUCUACCUUGUUGAAACGCUAUGGAUAGUAUUUCACAAUUUUUACUAUGACGCGGAAGUAUAUUUAAUAGCAUUACCAUAUUAAAACGCUAUUGAAAAGGUUGGGCGCUAAAAAUUUCCCAUUCCCGCUACUACACUUAGAAAUAUUUUUGGGCAUAGUUUCUUUUUCCCCUUAGCUCAUCUUUGUCGACUUUACUCUUCAAUUUUUAGGGUUUCCUCUUUCUCUCCUCUUUGCUAUCUCCGACAGACACAAAACACAAAUUUCCGAAAAAUUUCAACCUCUUUGCUCUCUCCGCAUCUUCCUUAGGUUCUCCCAUCUUCCUUGUAUGCUCGAUCUGUUUGGGAAUCCCACUAAAUCGAAGGUAAAUCCCACUUAAUCACAAAUUUGUUCUUGAUUUGUAGAGAGAGAGCUGCGAGAUGACGAUUUGGGUUUGGGUUUGGUCGAUUUAGGAAUUUGAGGAUUUAGAAUUUGGGGAUUUAGGGAUUUGAGGAUUUAGGUAGAAUCGCUUACACAUUUGAGACUGUAUCUACAUGUUCUUUGAACUGCUUUGAGCUGCUUUGUGUAUCUUUCACAUCUUCCUUGUUAACUUGAGUCCUAACAAUUUGAAACUAGAUCUGGUCUGACAUUUACUUCAAUGUGCAGGUCGUAGUCGAACCAGUAUCCAAACACAUCACUUGUCCAGAUUGAAGGAGUCAACACCCAAGAGAAGGUAAACAGAGCCAAAUCAAAGACUAAUAAUGAAAUCGAUUUCUUUUAAUUUUUGUUGGAUUAGUAGAUUUAUUGAUUUGAGUUUAAUUGAUUUCUAUUUUUGCUUUUUCUGUUGUAGUUCGAGUUAAUCAGAAGAGAACAAACUCUAUCAGGUAUAUGAUUCUUCUAUCAGAUUACUUGUAUUGUUGUUUUGGCUUUGAAAGUGACUGCCUCUGAAAAUUACUUGUAUGCACAUUUGGUCGGAGCUCUUGUGAAAUGGAUAAAGCUUGGGUUUGGUUGCCAAGGUAUUAACUUGUUCUUACAUAUAUGCAUUGAUUUCAUUUUAUGAUUGACUGUUCUCAGUUUGUAAUGGGUACUAUUUGUUAACUUGUAGGAAUAACCUUGAGUAUGAAACAGGAGCAACUAAGUUUGUGGUUGAAUCAGCAAGUAAUUUGGGUAAUCCAUCAGAAAUGUUCUGAAAUUCAAGUAAUAUCUGAUGCAGUAGGAAACUGGGUGGCUUGGCCUAACAAGCAUAUUGUAUUCAUGUGAGCAUAAGUUUGUGUCAAAAAACAUUGUUCUAUCUCAUGGUGUAGUACUACUCUUUGUAUGAUCUUUUAAAAUGACAGGUUUUAAAUCCAGUUUUAAUUUUAAGUUUAAUUUAAAGUCUUCAUAAUUUAAAUAUUAUGAAGUACUAAUAUUAUAUAUAAUUACAAUAUUAUAUAUAAUAUUAAAAACAACAAAUAUCAAUUUUUCUAAAUGCUUAACUUUUUAAUAACACACAAAAAACGCUAUUAUAUAAUUUAUAAUAGCAGAAAAGAAAACGCUAUGUUAUAUAAGCAUUUAUAGCAUUACAGAAAAACGCUAUCUAAAGUCACUUACCUAUUAUAGCGGGCGUAUAUACAGCGCUUUCAAAAACGCUAUUAUAUCUUUAGACAGCGUUUUUCAGACGCUUUUAAUACCCGAUAUUCCUGUAGUGUAAUUGGAGUAUUAAAUAGGGUAAUAUUAGUCGAUAGCCAAAUUAGACACAUAAAUUAAGAAACUAGCAGAAAAAAGGUUUUUCUCGGAAAACAGCGAUGGACCCACGUUGUCAGAGGAUGUGAAAUAACAAAACUAUCCUCCGUUUGUUUUGAGAUCAACAGUAGGCAAGAUUGUUUCGUGAUAUUUUUCAAAAUAGCACGUAAGAUCUAAAUUUCACAUAUUAUAUUUAACUAAAAGACAUGAUAUUUCAAAAAACGUAGUGAAUUUUUAAGAAAAAACAUUUUUAUGUAGUGUUUUUUUUUUUUAAAAAACAUUGUUAUAGAAAAAUUAAACUUGAAUAGAAUUUUUUUUUAAAGAAAUAACAUGUAAUCUUAAUAAAAACCGUGAAUUACUAUAAAAUAAGAAUGUUUUUUAAAGAAAUCACAUGUGAUAAUAAUAAAAAACAUGUAUUACUACAAAAUAACAUGAUAGAGAGAUAUUAAACUGAAUAGAGUGUUUUUUUCAAGAAAUACCAUGUGCUCUUUAUAAAUAACGUGUAAUACGACAAAAUCUAUAUUAUUAAUUGGGAAGCAUUGGAUAAUAAAUAACCUUAUAAAGGGUAAAAAAUUACAAAAAAUGCCAUUGGUUUUUAAUGUUUUUAAAUAACUUCAUUAAGGGUACAAUAGUAAUCACAAAAUUAAUAUAUUUAAAUAAAAAAUAGUUUAAUUCUUUUAAAUACUUAUUAAUUUCCAAAAAAUAAACUAAUUUUCUCUCUCUUAUUAAUUAUAAACGAAAAUUUGAAAUUAAUUUUUUAAAAUUGUUAACCAAUAGGAAUUGAAAAACUAAGAUUUGAUAUCCAACUAAGAUUUUUUCUAAACCAAUCCUAAUAGACUAUUCUAUAUCAAAAAUAAAAAUAAAAAUAAUAUCAUUUUAAUUCAAAAUUAAAAAAAAACUAUCAUUUAAAAAGAUUUAUCAAUGGAGGAUUUUAAGAUUGAAUUUGAAAUUUGGUAAAAAAAUUAAAUGCAAAUAUUUUAAUAUUCAGUUUUGUUAUAAUAUUUUUAUUACAAAUUUUGAAAUAUAAAACGAAAUUUUAUUUCAUAAUUUCUAAAAAACCAUAUUAAAUAUUAACAAAUAUUUAUUUUUACUAUGAAAUAAACUCAAAUAAUAAUAAAUUUUAAGUAAUUAUCAUAAUGGUUUUCGUUUAGAGCAAUUUUCGAAAAAAUCUAAACAAUAGAAUGUACAUAUUAAUUUUGAAAUAUUUUGUGUUUUAUUUUUUUCUUUUCAACUCAGAUCUUCCUUAAAUAAUAACUAGAUGCAAAUAUUAUUUAAGGAAGAUUUUAAGAUUGAAUUUGAAAUUUGGUAAAAAAAUUAAAUGCAAAUAUUUUAAUAUUCAGUUUUGUUAUAAUAUUUUUAUUACAAAUUUUGAAAUAUAAAACGAAAUUUUAUUUCAUAAUUUCUAAAAAACCAUAUUAAAUAUUAACAAAUAUUUAUUUUUACUAUGAAAUAAACUCAAAUAAUAAUAAAUUUUAAGUAAUUAUCAUAAUGGUUUUCGUUUAGAGCAAUUUUUGAAAAAAUCUAAACAAUAGAAUGUACAUAUUAAUUUUGAAAUAUUUUGUGUUUUAUUUUUUUCUUUUCAACUCAGAUCUUCCUUAAAUAAAUCCAUAAUAUAUUGCACACAGUUUUUGAAAUUAUGUAAACUAAUUAUAUAUUUUGCAUUCAACACAAAUUAUGCAGCAAUAGCAUAUCCCUUUUAUAGAUGUAUCUAAAACUUUUAUUUUUAGUCCAAAUAUUGAACUAAUUAUGAUUAAACAAUGAAAAGAAGAAUAUGCAAAAUUUAGCUAAGGAAAGAAACAUUAAUAAAUUUGUUAAAAUAUUUGAAACUUUAACAUCAUACAUAUUAAUCCGCAAAACUCACAGUAUGUAUUUUAUGGUAUUUUAAAGUAAGCAAACAAGAAUUUGGAACAUGGUUUUAAUGGAAUGAAAUGAGAAUAAGAAUUACGAGACGGGAUGGCAGGGGAACAUAAAUUAAAAAUCAAACUUAAUACUCAACUGGUAUGAGUUUGUGUUAUGAGCACUAUAUAAAAUAAAUUUGUUUACACACAUAUUAUACGUACGUUUUUAGUUACAAUUUAUGACAGAUACGGGACCGUAAUAUUUUUAUUUCACGUAUACGAGACGGGUUAUGGGACGAAAAAUUUAUGACAUAUACAAGACGGGAUAGGUUUCCUGUUCCAAAAUUGUUACGCCUAGCUAAUAUACAUGAAAUAAUCCAAACUAAACCGAAUAUGUAUCCUAUUUAACACAUGUAAUCAAACUGUUAGAAAUGUUUUGAAUAGUUUAGAAAAUAAAAACGUAACAUCACUUAACUUUUGCAACUAAAUAAUAUCUUAAUUUUAUAUUAAAUACAAUUUCACACGUACGUGUAGGUCCGAAUCUUAAAAUUUAACUAUGCACUAACGCAACUAAAUUUCGUUCAUUGCUCUAACUUUAUAAUAUCUAUAUUAUUACAAAGUUCACUAACACAACAAAAUAUUUUAUAUUUUUAAAAUCUAUAUAACAAUUUCUAAAAAAAAUAUCUCUGCACGUACAUGUGGAUCUAAAUCUAAUACACUAAAAUAUACAUCAUAAAAACAAUAAAAUAAUCUAUAUUGUAUGAAAAUUUGUAAGAAAUGUUUUUGAAAUAUGAAACUCCGCACGUACGUGCGGGUCAGGAUCUAGUAAUAUGAUAAAAGAGAUAUAUUAUUCUAUCACUUAUAAUUCGAGAAAAAAGCAUGUUAUAAAGGGCAUGUACGUAAUUACAUGUGCUUCCCGACAUGAUACCGACAAAUUACUGUAGCGUAUGACUAUUUUCUUAAUUAUCCUCAAAAAUUUGGCUAUUUUGUGCAUAUUUCCUAUUAAAUAACAUUAGAUUUUAAAUAAUAUUUAGAAAUCACUAAACGAAUACCAUUUCAUUUUGACCAACAAUUUAUUUUUUAAUGCAUAUUACGAUGUCAUCAAAAUUUUAAAAUUCUUUAUAUGUUGAUUGAUUUAAGUUCGAUUUAAAAAUUUAAAUCAUAUCAAGAAUAAAUAUAAAAUAAUUACAGUAUUCAUAUAUUAAAUAUAUAUAUAUAUAUAUAUGCAUAUAUUAUGAUUCAAAUUUUUGAAAAGGACAUAAAUUACUCAACAUAUAACAUAAAUAGCGUAUAAAAUUCACACACGUGCAGCUUUGAAAAUUAGUGGUGAUAAUUAAGAGUAUGAUAUUUUAUGUGAUGCAAAGGGUGGUAUUUAUAGUGAAGUGAAGUUAGUUUACUGUGUGGUCUCGUCUUAUGACGAUAAUAUGGGCAACGAGGAGAUAACUCAGAUAAUAAGUGUACGUGAAUGGCUUCGAGUGAUGCAAAUGCUUUCUGGCCCCAUUAUGUUUUAUAACCGAAGAGAUAUUUCACUUACACCACUCGUUUCUUGAGCACGUUGUGACCGUGCUAAAUUUAGAAUUCGGCGUUUUGUUGUUUCAUUUUUAUUAUUAUCGUAGGCUUUUAUUCUUGUGAAUUUUGAACCAGAGUUUCGGUUUACAGAAUACUAAUUCUGUGAAGCUGUUCCACAUUAUUAGCAAAAAAAAUGUUUGUGCCUAUGAUGGACUUGGGUAAUACUUGUGUUGGCGGGAAUACUUUCUUGUAUAAUUGGCAUAUAUAACAAUGAACUACGAGGUAUUGAAAAAAUACGCAUUUGAACCUAAAUAUUUUUAGAAGACGAGUUUAUGUUUUAUAUAAGUGUCAUUUGAUCUUUUUUCUCGUAACAACUUAUUUUUAAUAUAAUAUUAGAGUUUAGUAUUUCGGUGUUAUAUACGACGUUAAGUAAUAAAUUAAAUAUUUACAUAAAAAGUAAUAUGUUACGAAAAAGUAACCAUGUUAUGAAGAAAAAGUAAUAUGUUACGAAAAAGUAACCAUAUUUCCAUAAAACUUAAACAAAACCACAAUCCAAAAAAAAUAUUCAUUAUUUAAUGGCAAUAAUUUAAAUAACUAUAUUUUUUUUUGGUUGGAUAUUUUUUUGUACCAUAUUUACUUUUUGUCGGAUUAUAAAUAUACUUUUCGUGUGCUGAUGAAACCAAAUUAUUUUGCAACAUUAACGAGUGAUUAUACAGUACAAUAAUUAAACGUGUCUUACAACAUGAAGACACAUAUUAAACUUUAAUCUACGAGAUUGUGACAUUCUGCUAUAUAUAUCAUAAACAUAUUUUACAUCUCAUAAUGUAAAACUAUAGCAAUAUUUUUGUUCCAAAUUUUUCAAAAUUCAUUUUUACUUUUAUUUAACUAAUAAGUGCUAAAUUAGUUUCCAAUACAUUCAAUUUUUUUUUUUAUUAACUUCAAAUUGUUACGUAUCAUUUCAUUUCAUGGCCACUUGAUUAAUUAUCCCUAUAAAGAAAAACAACAUUUAGUACGAAGUCUUUGUUCUUAUUAAGUUACGAUAGGAUAGACAUUUUAUUUAUGCAGCGGUGCCUAAACGGCUACAAACAUAAACGGAAAGACAUAGAUAUGCAGUGGAUACAAGGGGACAAAGACAUGAUGAUAGAUGCUUAAGAAGGUACGUAGUAGAGUGGAUUUGGGAGCUUAAAGACCCUUCCAGGAGUAUCCUCAACCAAAUCAGCCCAUUGGUCUCCAAUAUUCCCAACGAUGUUGUAUCCUUUCUUCACCAGGCUCUUCCUCACCUUUGACUUGUACACCACUUCCGGCAAUUUCGAAUGGUUUGGCCUGCGUUGCCAUAUUUAAUUAAUCCUCGAUUAAAUUGCAUAUACAUCAUACUUACUUACUGUAUAUUAUUAAGCUUACUUGAAUAUAAGAUGCUUCCAUUUUGUCACACCAGCAGCCUUGAGAUUAUCGAGAGUGACUUCUGACAACCUCUUCCAUCGGUCAGAGAUUAUGAUGGGUUCAAUCCCGAGUUCUAAGAGGUUCCUGUAUAGAUGCAAAGUCUCCGGGAGUCCUGGAGUUGAUUCUCCGGACCUUAACCACGACCAGUACGCCCCCGGGGCUGUGUUCUGUGUCCUAAGAAUCCCAAAAAAAAAAAAAAACAAAUCUACUUUAAAAUGAAAUCACAAAGUAGAUAUGGACUACAAAAGAAAAACAGUUUGUAUCAAACUAUUUAGAUUUGUCAAAUGAAACGUGUUUUUCCAUAUAUAUAUGACAUUUUCAAAUGAAGAUAAUAUUGUUAAUGCAAUGGAGAUGGUGUAGGUAGAACUAAUAACAAUAAUAUGUAUACCCGUAUCCAUAUUUGGCGUAGUAGGGGAUACUAGAGAGGAGAGUGUCGUCUAUGUCAAAUAUCCAAACAUUGACGGUAUCGUUCUUUAGGGCAAGUCCUUUGGCAUAGAAAUAAGCCUCUUUGCACACCGUUUUGGAGUCAGAUUGAUAUUGUUUGGAAGUGAUCAAGUAGUCUUCAACAUAGUCUUUGCAAUUUGCGGGCACGGUGUCGAAGUCUAUGAUGUUAGAGGUCUCAACACCAAGGUGCCAGCUUCUACAGUUGUGGUAGUUGAUGGAAAGUCCCUCUUUCUCUAAGAGUUCGGCUUCGUCCCCAAAGAUGGUGUUCGAUUCGAGGAGUUCGAUGAGCCCUGGAACGGAAGCCGAAGACCGGACGUGGGAGACCGUAGCUGCCAAGAGAAAGAGAAGUGAAAGUGAGAGGAUUUUCAUGUUUUUUUUUUUGUGGUAUGGUUUAUUGUUUAGUUUGUGAUGUUUAUUUGUGGGACACAAAGGGUGGUAUUUAUAAUGAUGUAGGGUUAGGUAUGGUUACUUAUGACGACAGAUGGGAGAUGAGGCGAUAAGUGUAUGUGUAUUUGGAUUGGUGCAACAAAUGCUACUGGUCCCAUAAUGUUUAUAAUUGACAAUAUUUUUCACUUACACCACUCGUUUUUAGAGCACGUUGAGACUGUGUGCUAAACUAGAAUUUGGCGUUUUGUUGUUUUAUUUUUAAUAUUAUCUUUGGCUUUUGUGCUUGUAAAUUUUGAAUUAGAGUCUCGUUUUAGAGAUCUUACUGUGAAGUUUUUCUACAUUACUAGAAAAAUGUGUGUGAAUAUGUCGAUGUGAGUAAACUUUUUUUUUGGAUAAUUGAUAGAGUAAACUUUUUUUUUUUUGAUAAAUAAUUGAUAGAGUAAUUGGCAAAACCAAUAAUGCAAAACGUGAUAUUCAAUAAACGAGUAAUUGGCAGCAGCCUCCCAGUGAGCAACAAGAGAUAGAUGUGUACUGUGUAGGUUGAAUCAUACGAGAUGAAAUAUGUCGAUAAGAUAAGAAAUGUGAGGUAUACACGUAUAGACGUUUUUUUUUUUUUCUUUUGUCAACAUCUUUUAAUUAAAAUUUAAAAGAAUCAUUCAUGAAGAAUGUUGUUUACAUAAGUAAUAUGAUGCGGUUUGGUAUGAAUUUUUCGUGCCAAAUUAUCCGCUUUUACAUUUGCACUACGAGGGAUUAAAAAUAAAGAGAAGCUUGAAAAUUCUUUCUUGUCGCUCUUGAAAUCUUCCAAAUACACUGCGAAUGCCGGCCAUUCGAUUGGGAAGGACACCAUCUUCACCAGGUCUGAACAGUCUGUAUAAAAAGCUACAUCUUGGGUGUAGUAUCCAAUCAUACACUUCAUUGCCCAGAAAAGAGCUUCCACUUUGGUAUGUAGAGGUGAGAGACUUCUUCGGAUAUUGGCUGCUCCCAUGGUUGGCGUCUCUCCGUUUGGUGAUGUGCAGAACCACCCUGUUCCUGAAUAUUUAUCAGUUUCUUUUCAUGAUCCAUGACAAGUAUAGACGUUAAAUAUUACACCUUUCGUUUUUAUUUAUUUCAUAUUUGGAGAGAAAAAAAAAUCUAUAUAUAAUAGCAAUCUCAAUAAAUGUCUUUUGCAGUUUUGAACGGUUGUGUAUUUUUAUCGCAACUUUCGGCUAAAAUAUUGACGGUUAUUUUUUUUCGAUUGUAUUUUUUUAUCGCAACUCUCGUUAAAAUAUUGACAGUUACUUUUUUUUGUUGACGGUUAUUUUUUCGGUUGUGUCUUCUUAUCGCAAUUUUCCGUUAAAAUAUUGUCGGUAACUUUUUUCAUUUGUGUCUUUUUAUCGCAACUUUCCGUUAAAAUAUUGACGGAUAUUUUUUCUAAGUUGUGUCUUUUUUUAUCGCAUCUUUUCGUUAAAAAAUUGACGGUUAUUUUUCUGGGACAGUUCUAUUUGUUCAAUUAUAAUCAUAUUUUUUUUCAGUUUACGGUUGUGUCUUUAUAGUUGCAUCUAUUCAUUUAAAGUUACGUCUCUUCAAUAUAUUUCAUUGCAUUUUUUCGUCACAACUUUUUGUAUGAAUAGUUGUCUAUUUAAAUGUUCGUGACUUUUGAACUCUAUAUAUUUGUCUUUCUUCUUAAGUAGUUCCCGAAUUUUUGUUCUUUAAAAUAUAUUAUUUGUUUCAUGAUAAAAAAAAAUCUAUAAAAUAGCUUCAAAUUCUUUAUUCUCUAAGCUAUUUUUAAACAUAUAUCAUUUUAAUAUUAAUAAAUUCUUCUCAAGAAGAAUGAUUAUUAAAAUGGAGAAGUUUUAAUCAACUUUAAAUGUAAAAUUCAAAUGAAGAUACCAACAAUAUUUUUCUUAGAAUUGGACGGAUUAUACAGUAAUUUUUUAUUUAACUAUUUUAUAUGGUAACAAUGAUGCUUUCUGAUAUAUCACGGAUUUUACCGAUUUUUAACCGUGAUUUACGUGUCAGUUUUAGAGUUUUUUUGUUGUUUCUAGUGUCUUUUCAAGUCUUUUCAGGUUUUUGCAAGUUCGGGACAAAAUUGGAGGAAAUGAAUCAUUUUGGAGCUAAACAGAAUAUUUGGAGCUGAAGAGACGAAUUCGGAUUCGAACCAAGGCAUUGGUGUCGACCGACACCAUACGCGGUCCAGCAAGAAAUCUCGACGGUUUAGAGUAAUAAAGCCCGCAGAAUUUACCCAUAAGACUUCCCUAUUUGCAAUUUUAGUCCCUGCACGUUUUUGAGACUUUAUAAAUAAUUUUUAAGGUUUUCUAUUUGAUUAUCUUGUCUUUGGCUUUUGUAAUUCUCUGAGCUUGAACCCUUUGGAAGAUAAUUGGAGAGAGCAACUUUUCAGAGAUUUUAUACCUUGUUAGAGAGAAGAUUUAUUCUAAACUCUUUUCUUCUUUUAAUUUCUUAACUAGAUCCUGACCCGCACGUACGUGCGGGGUUUCAUAUUUCAAAAACAUUUCUUACAAAUUUUCAUAUAAUAUAGAUUAUUUUAUUGUUUUUAUGAUGUAUAUUUUAGUGUAUUAGAUCUAGAUCCACAUGUACGUGUAGAGAUAUUUUUUUUAGAAAUUUUUAUAUAGAUUUUAAAAAUAUAAAAUAUUUUGAUGUGUUAGUGAACUUUGUAAUAAUAUAGAUAUUAUAAAGUUAGAAUAAUGAACGAAAUUUAGUUGCGUUAGUGCAUAGUUAUAUUUUAAGAUUCGGACCUACACGUACGUGUGAAAUUGUAUUUAAUAUAAAAUUAAGAUAUUAUUUAGUUGCAAAAGUUAAGUGAUGUUACGUUUUUAUUUUCUAAACUAUUCAAAAUAUUUCUAACAGUUUGAUUACAUGUGUUAAAUAGGAUACAUAUUCGGUUUAGUUUGGAUUAUUUCAUGUAUAUUAGCUAGGCGUAACUAUUUUGGAACAGGAAACCUAUCCCGUCUUGUAUAUUUCAUAAAUUUUUCGUCUCAUAACCCGUCUCGUAUACGUGAAAUAAAAAUAUUAUGGUCUCGUAUCUGUCAUAAAUUGUAACUAAAAACGUACGUAUAAGGUUAUGUGUGUAAACAAAUUUAUUUUAUAUAGUGCUCAUAACACAAACUCAUACCAGUUGAGCAUUAAGUUUGAUUUUUAAUUUAUGUUCUCCUGCCAUCCCGUCUCGUAAUUCUUAUUCUCAUUUCAUUCCAUUAAAACCAUGUUCCAAAUUCUUGUUUGCUUACUUUAAAAUACCAUAAAAUACAUACUGUGAGUUUUGCGGAUUAGUAUGUAUGAUGUUAAAGUUACAAAUAUUUUAACAAAUUUAUUAAUGUUUCUUUCCUAGCUAAAUUUUGCAUAUUCUUCUUUUAAUUGUUUAAUCAUAAUUAGUUCAAUAUUUGGACUAAAAAUAAAAGUUUUAGAUACAUCUAUAAAAGGGAUAUGCUAUUGCUGCAUAAUUUGUGUUGAAUGCAAAAUAUAUAAUUAGUUUACAUAAUUUCAAAAACCGUGUGCAAUAUAUUAUGGAUUUAUUUAAGGAAGAUCUGAGUUGAAAAGAAAAAAAUAAAACACAAAAUAUUUUAAAAUUAAUAUGUACAUUCUAUUGUUUAGAUUUUUUCAAAAAUUGCUCUAAACGAAAACCAUUAUGAUAAUUACUUAAAAUUUAUUAUUAUUUGAGUUUAUUUCAUAGUAAAAAUAAAUAUUUGUUAAUAUUUAAUAUGGUUUUUUAGAAAUUAUGAAAUAAAAUUUCGUUUUAUAUUUCAAAAUUUGUAAUAAAAAUAUUAUAACAAAACUGAAUAUUAAAAUAUUUUCAUUUAAUUUUUUUACCAAAUUUUAAAUUCAGUCUUAAAAUCUUCCUUAAAUAAUAUUUGCAUCUAGUUAUUAUUUAAGGAAGAUCUGAGUUGAAAAGAAAAAAAUAAAACACAAAAUAUUUCAAAAUUAAUAUGUACAUUAUAUUGUUUAGAUUUUUUCGAAAAUUGCUCUAAACGAAAACCAUUAUGAUAAUUACUUAAAAUUUAUUAUUAUUUGAGUUUAUUUCAUAGUAAAAAUAAAUAUUUGUUAAUAUUUAAUAUGGUUUUUUAGAAAUUAUGAAAUAAAAUUUCGUUUUAUAUUUCAAAAUUUGUAAUAAAAAUAUUAUAACAAAACUGAAUAUUAAAAUAUUUGCAUUUAAUUUUUUUACCAAAUUUCAAAUUCAAUCUUAAAAUCCUCCAUUGAUAAAUCUUUUUAAAUGAUAGUUUUUUUUAAUUUUGAAUUAAAAUGAUAUUAUUUUUAUUUGUAUUUUUGAUAUAGAAUAGUCUAUUAGGAUUGGUUUAGAAAAAAUCUUAGUUGGAUAUCAAAUCUUAGUUUUUCAAUUCCUAUUGGUUAACAAUUUUUAAAAAAAUUAAUUUCAAAUUUUCGUUUAUAAUUAAUAAGAGAGAGAAAAUUAGUUUAUUUUUUUGGAAAUUAAUAAGUAUUUAAAAGAAUUAAACUAUUUUUUAUUUAAAUAUAUUAAUUUUGUGAUUACUAUUGUACCCUUAAUGAAGUUAUUUAAAAACACUAAAAACCAAUGACAUUUUUUGUAAUUCUUUACCUUUUAUAAGGUUAUUUAUUAUCCAAUGCUUCCCAAUUAAUAAUAUAGAUUUGCAAUUUAUUCAACAUGUUUUCUGUUUCAUUAAUCAUGUCUGAGUAAUCACCCUAUUAGGUUUAGGGAUUCUCACUAAGGAUUUAGAUGAACUAGUAAAUCGAUUAACUGUUAGGAAUCCAUAGAGUUCUUCAUCUAGGUUGUUAUUAAUGCUUGUUCGAGAGUAGCUGAUCGUAGGAUAAUAGGUAUUUGAUCCGAGAGGGCACAUGUUACUGGAACUACUUUAGAUGAGCCUAGUUUAUAGGUGUGUAAUAAGAAUCGGCCUAUCUACUAAGGUGAACAUAUCAAACCUGAAUUUAAUGCUAGUCUAGACCUAGGAAUUCGCAUCGAGAGGUGGAAUUUCUGGUAUUAGGCUUGUUAGUUAUCGCAUCGAGAGGUGGUUAGCUAUUCAUUAGUGAUUUGAGUUCAAGAACGGUUCAUUAAAUAAUCCUAAUUAAUUUGCUAGAUUUAUUACUAGUUUAUUUCCUGAGAAUUUCUCUAAACCUGAAACUUUAAUCUAUUGAUCUUUUCACCUGAAAUCAUUGUUUGCUAUUGUUUUAUUUUAAUUUUAAUAAUUUUAUUUAGCCUAAUUUCGAGACUUAUAACUUAUUGUGUGAACAAAAGAACUUUGUGGAUCGACCCUUAAGUGCUGCAAUCGACCUCUUAAUAUGAGAGAGUAGGCUUUAAGAUUAAUUUGACCUGUAUCACUUUAUUCUAUCUUAAGGCAAUAUAUAUGGGUUGUAUAUAUACAACGAAAUAUUGAUGCUAAGUUAGCACUAUUACAAAGUCCGAAUAUGAGAAGACAUCCUCAUGUGACGCUUGUGAUUUGGCGCUUUAAAUGUGGUAAGCGUCAAAUAAACCAUUUUAAAUGGUAUAUAUAGUAAUCCAGAAAUCAUCUCCAUUACUAGGAAUAUUCGAGGAAUAAGUUUUUUUACUUAGUUAUUUAUGAGAUCUUGUAAAUAUUUAUUUGUUUGUUAUAGAUAUAAUUUACGUCAUCCAAUUUUAUAUUUUCUCGAAUAUUAUCAUAAAAUAAAUAUUAAUUUCUUAUUUAAAAAAAGUAAGCAAACAAAAAAAUACUAAUUCUCGGACGAAGUUCUUAGUCACCCACAAGUCGUGCUAUGUACCGACUCCAUCCAAAUUUUUGGAUUUCACCCUCUAGAAUUUUUCAUUUCUAUAUUAUAACUCUUCGUUAUGUAUUUUGUCACUUAUAAAUAAUUUUACAUUCAUAUAAAUUAUUUCAUAAGUGUUUUUAUAAUUAUUUUUUUUAUAUUUUUAUUCAUAAAUUGUUUUAACAUCUUUGGAAAAUAUUUACGAUAUAACUUUAAAACAUAGCUAAUUUUAUGUAAUAAUUUAAAUUUUGAAUAUGUUAUCAUAAUAAUUUAAUACAUAAAUACAAUCAAAUAUAUUUUUUGAAAAUGAGUUCUCCCACGACAUCGCGGUAAUUCAUACCUAGUUAUUUUAAUAAAAUAGAUAAUAUUUUCAAUUUCUAUAAUACAAAAUUAGUUAUUUUUUUCUGGGUUAUGAUGAUUUAUAUUUUGUAAAUUUUAUUAUAGAUCGAAUCGUGUUUAGAUAGAUAAUAAAUAACUUUUAGGUUAAAAAUAAACAAAAUUUAAAUGUUUUUUUUAACGGUGUACAAAAACUUUAAACAUCAAAUAUAAAAAAUUGGAGAAAUCAGUAACUUAAAUCGUAAUAAAAAAUAAGUCAAUAAUUAGCAAACAUACCUAUAUAGUUGUAUCACUAUUCACUAGUUCUCGAUAAAGAUUUGAAUAAUAAUUUUCGUGCCCGUGAUUAGGAACACUCUUUGUCAGCAAGAUUUCCCACAAAAAGUUGUAUCUUGGUGAUAGCUAUAGUUUCAACGAUGAUUGUGCUUUCCAACAAUAUAUAUAUAUAUAUAUUUAAUGCAUACCACCUCGUGACGAUAUAUUUUAAAUUAGUUUAAUAGAAAUUAUAUUUUAUAUAUUAACGAACAGUUUUGCAAAUUAAAGUUCUGAUUGGUAAAGUUUUUUAAGAGUUAGUUGGAACGGUAAACUGUUAAGGAAUAAUGCAAAAAUGUUAAAAAAAAUAUUACAAAAAAACUGUACAGAAAAUAAAGGUUUUUUUGAGGUUUUGAUAUUAUUCUUGUGAUUAGUACCACUUGUAGUACUCUCUUUUUGUUCACCAAUCAAAGCCUAACUUGUAGUGGAAUAGUAGUUUCCGCAUGAAAUAUAGUAUCUUUAUUUCGAUUUAGGUCAUAGAACGUAAAUAAAUGGUGAGAUAUAUUCAUGGAAAAAGAUAAUUUAUACUGUAUGCAUGAUUAACGAGAUUGGUAUAAUAUUGUGUUAACACAUGUAACACGCAGUCCUACAGUAAGAAAACUUUAAUCGAUGUGGUAAUUAAACAUAAGAAUUGAGAUUUUGUUCAUAUACUUAUAUAUAGUUGAAUUUUUCUUUCUUUAAUAAAUAAAAAUUGGAAGAACCAUUAACCAUCUGACAUUGGAUAUAGAAAUGACUCUUUCUGAUGCAAAAUAACUAAACCAGAGGAACCAAACAUUCAUAACAAAGCACAUAGGAUAUUAAAUUGGCCAGAACGGCGAGUUGCAAUAUGAAAGAAGAGAUGAUAUCUUGUCAUAAAGUCAAACAUGGAUUAUGAAAGACUUAGCCAUACAACAUGAAGGUUAUUCUGAAAUACCGGGAAGGAUAUUGAUGAAUGAUGAACUUUUAUAAUAAGUGGAUUGCGUAUUUUUUGAAAAAGUAUUUUGACCAUUUUCAAGCACUGGGUUACACGAUAAUGGUACCAUUAUUCAUAAACCGCAAAAUCAAAAAUGUAAAUAACCCUAACAAAAUUCCAAAUAGAACAUCCCUGAUUUUUAUAGCAACUAUACACUUAAUACGAGGACCUUUUAUUUAUUGAGUUGUGAUAAGAUGGACACUUUAUUUGAGCAGUGGCACAUAUGAGGUGAUGCAUGUAUGGGAACAAAUUAAAGACGUGAAAGUGUACGACAAGAUGCUUAAUUAGAUCUUGCAGUAGAGUGGAUUAGGGAGCUUUAAAGUCCUUCUACCAGGACUUUCCUUUAUCAAAUCAGCCCAUUGGUCUCCAAUAUUCCCAAUGAUAGUGUGGCCACUCCUCUCUAGCUUCUUCCUCUCUUCUGACUUGAAGCUCGAUACCUUCUUGUUUGAGCCUGUUGGCCUGUGUUUACACAUAUACAUAUAUCUUUCGAUUCAGUCACACAUAUGAUUAAGCUACUUUAACUAAUAUUUUUAAUUAUUAUAUAUGAUUAAACCUACUUUGAUUAUUCUUAUUUGAAAAUGACAUGCCUCCAAUAGGUGAAUCCAGCAGCUUUGAGAUUCUUUAGAGUGAUUUCCUCCAAAUCUUGGAAUCGUUCAGUAAGUAAGACAGGGCGAAUCCCGAUUUCAGGGAUGUUUUGGUAAAGAUGCAAGGUCUCUGGGAGCCCGGGAGCUUCUCCGACCACCAACCACUUCUUGAAUGUCUCCGGGUUGUGCUUCUCUGUUCUAAAAAACCAAACAAACAAAAUAUAGUUUCAAUACAAUAAAUCGAAAUUAUGUUGACAUCUAAAUAUUUUAAAAUAUACGGAAAUGAUAUUUACAAGAAAUCAUAUUAGAAUUUCAUUAAAAAUUAGACACUGUGUGAAUACAAACUAUGGUGGUUAGGCAUAAUUAAUAAUACAAUAUGUAUACCUGUAUCCAUAUUUGGCGUAAAAGGGAACAUUAGAGAGGAGGGUCUCGUCUAGGUCAAAGAUCCAAACAUUGUAGGUGUCGUUCUUUAAGGCAAGUCCUUUGACGUAGUAGUAAGCUUCUUUUCUUUGCACACCGUUUUGGAGUCGUAACGAUACUGUUGUGAAGUGGUCAAGUAGUCUUCAACAUAGUCUUUGCAGUUUGAAGGCACCGUCUUGAAGUUUAUGAUGUAGACGUCUCAACACCAAGGUGCCAGCUUCUGCAGUCGGGGUAGCUGAUGGUAAGUCCUUCUUUCUCUAAGAGUUCGGCUUCGUCCCCAAAGAUGGUGUUCGAUUCGAGAAGUUCGAUGAGCCCCGGAACGGAUGCCGAAGACCGGACGUGGGAGACCGUAGCGGCCAAGAGCAAGAGAAGUGAGAGUGAGAGGAUUUUCAUUUUUUUUUUUUGGUAUGGUUUAUUGUUUAGUUAAUUUGUGAUGUUUAUUUGUGUGACACAAAUAGGCAUGUCAAUCGGGCUAGCUCGGCCCGGCCCGGCCCGGCCCGGCCCGAAGCCCGCAAAACCCGUACAUAUUUGAGCCCGACCCGGCCCUAGCAGGGCUACAUGGCUUUUCCGGAUUUUUCUUCCGAUAACAGAAAACAAACUUAUAGUUUCUAAUAUCUCUUAAAAAAUAAUCUAUAUAUGAAACGAGUCAAUCAAAAUUUAAAUAACCACUAACGCUAAUUUAGUUUUUUAAAAAGAAAGUUAAAAUCAAAUAAAUAAUCUAAAUAAAUUGUUUAAACUUAUACUAGAUAAAAUAUAAAAUCAAAAUAAUUCAAAUUAGGUAGUAGAGCUAAUAUUUACUUUUUCGAUUUAUAGUAAUACACAACAAACAAACUAAGUUUAUGGUUUUCAACUCUAUUAAAAAAAAUUUUAACAACAAAUCUUACAAUUAAACGAAAAUAUUAACAAAAAAAAAGGGUCAAAAUAUUUUUUAGAGGGCUUUUCGGGCUAGCCCGAGCCCGGCCGGGCUAAGCCUAGAAAACCCUUUAGCCCGAACGGGCUUAGCCCGAACGGGCUUAGCCCAAAAGGCUCGGUUUUUUCUAGACAUAUAAUUUGAAGUCCGAGCCCCCUGUUUUUCAUGGCUGGGUCGGGCUAGCCCGCGGGCUUUGGCCCUAGUUGACAUGUCUAGACACAAAGGGUGGUAUCUUUCUUAUUAUAUAAAGUAUGGUUUUCAAAGUUAAUAACUCAUAGGAUCUUGACACGUAGCAAAUCUAUCGAUCUUAGAUUUUGACAUGUGUAAAACAAAAAUUUCGACACGUGUGAAACAAAAAUUUUCUUUUAUUUAUUUUUAAAAUAAUAUAAGAAAACUAUACACACAUGUCAAAUUUAUCAACGUGUAAAACCAAAAAUAAUUUAUAAGGAAGUUAUACAUAUAUAUCUUAUAUAAAAAUAUUCUAAAAAUUUUAAAAAGAUAAAUAUAAGGAUACUAGAUGUAUAUGAAAUAAAAAUAGAAAUUUAAGAAAAAAAGAAUUAAGGCAACUAUACAUAUAUCUUAUAAAAAAAAUUUAAAAGUAAAGAAGAUAAUUAUAAGGAAAAUAUAUGUAUCUUAUUAACUAAAAUUAAAAAUUAAAAAAUUAUUUACUAAUUAUAAUUUAAAGCUACUAAUUCUAAAAGAAAAAGAUUAUUAAAAAAGAUUUGUGAAAUUAUACAAUCACAUUGUAUAAUAUGGUAAUUAAAAUUUUUUCUAAUUAAUUAUUAAUCGUAGAAGAAAAAGGGUUCUAAAUACUCACAUAUAUUAAUAUAUAAUUCAUCUAUAUCUAUAUAUAAAUAAAAGAAAAAGAAUUCUAUAGAUAAACAAAUAGAUAGAUAGACAAGUUAAUGGCGAUAAAGGUAAAUUAAGAAUUAUGAACGGCGAUGGAUAUAAAAUAAAAUUGUUGUCGGAAAAGCUCGACCCGAUGUCGGAGGAGAUAAAAAAGGUGGAUAAAUAAGAGCAGUUGGGAAAAGAGGGGAAGAUGCGGUAACAAUGGUGUUGGUGUUGAUGACGGUGUUUCAAGCUUGGUGAUGGUGGCGGUAAAUAUUGAUGAAGGUGGUGGGUUGGAAUUAACGAGAUUUAGUAUUGAUUGUGAUAGUUGUGAAAUUUAGUUGUGGUGGUGGCCUGGUGGAUCGGAGUAGUGAAACUCGGUGGUGAUAUCCGACGAUGAAGAUAAACAGUGAUAUGGAAAAAGAAAAAAAAUAUGGUCUCGAAGAAAUCCAACGAGAUAGAGAGAAAGAAAAAGAAAGAGGAGAUCAAGCAAAAAUAAAAGAAAUUUAAUGAGAUAAAAAAGAAAGAUUUGAGACUUCUUGCCGGCAAGAGGAAAGAAAAAAGAGACAACAAAAAACUCAUGAGUAAUAUGAACCAAAAAUUGACAAUAACCAUAUAGCAAAUAGACAUUGUUUAGUUUAUAUUAUUUUCUUAAUUCUUUUUUAGUCUUAAAUUAUUUAGUCCAUAUUUUCUAAUUUCUUCUGAAUUUGUCUUUUUGUUUUGAGCUUUUCUCAUAUUAUCAAGUAAAAUUACAUGAUGUGGAUAUAGACUGUCUCAAUGUCACAAUUUUGUUUCCAUAUUGUCCACAUUGAAAUUAUAAAGUGUUAUACACUCUUCCGAUGGAUGUAGAUAAUUUAUUAAAUUUCAAUAAUACACAUAGGAGAAUUUAUUAAAUAUCAUAAUGUAACAUAUAAUAAACAAAACUACAAAUAGUAUUUUAUAUUGCACAUUAUUCAUAAUUAAUCUAUAUUUAAAAAAUAAUUAAAAUACUACCUUUUCUAAAAUUAAAACAUAUUUUUAUAUAAUUUUAGUUAAGCUUACAAAAAUAAAAAAUAAAAAAUGACAAUUUCGAAUGGUAACCCGUGCAACGCACGGGUCCAUCUAGUCGUAUUAUAUAAAGUAUAGUUUUCAAAGUUAAUAACUUACGAGAUCGUGACACGUGUCAAAUUUUUUUAUCUGAGAUUUUGACAUGUGUCAAAUAAAUUUUUCCUUUUAAAAAGAAAGAAAAAGUUAAAAGAUAAUUAUAAAAAAUUAUAAAUUUAAACAGUUUUAAAAUGUAAAAAGCUCAUUAUAAGAAAAUUAUACAUAUAUUUCCAUAUAAGAGUUUUUACCAUCUAACAAACAAAAUUUUUGUUUUUAGAAAGCUAAUUUUAAAGAAAUUGAACAUAUAUUUCCAUAAGAGUUUUUCCAAGAAAAAAAUUUAAAAAUAGAAAAAAAUCUUAAGAAAAUUAUACAAUCAAUUAUUAAUCCUAUAAGAAAAAGGAUUGUAAAUAGUUACCUUUGAAUAAAUAAAUAGAUUGUCUCAUAUUUUCUCAUCAAGCAAACUAAUUUCUUAACAAUGUUAUAUCAUAUCAAUUAUAAAAAAAAAAAAAUCGAAUCACGAUGAUUUUCUAAAAAUAGCAUGUAAUAUUUAGAACUAAUGAAUAUAUGGCAAUUGAGCCAAACUAAUAAUGAUGAAAGGCGAUAGACAUAGACUAGAGUUAUUGUUGGAGAGGCUUGGUCCAAUGUCGGAAGAGAUAAAGAAGAUGGAGUAAUAAAAAAAGUUGGGAAAAGAGGAUAAGAGACGGUAAGUGGUGUUGGUGUUGAUGAUGGUGGUUUAAGCUUGGUGGUGGUAGCGGCGGUAAAUAUUGAUGAAGGUAGUGAGUCGGAAUUAGCGAGAUUCGGUAUUGUUGGUGGUGGUGACUGUGAUAGUAGUGAGAUUUAGCUGUGGUGGUGGGUCAUAGUAGUGAGACUCGGUGGUGAUGUCCGACAAAUGCGAGAAAUGUAGAUAGGAAAAAGAAAAAAAUAAAGAUAUGGUGGUGAAAAAAUCAGACGAGAGAGAGAAAGAGAAAGAAAGAGGAAUUCGAACAAAAAUAGGAGAAAUCUAAUGAGAGAAACAUAGAGAUUUGAAAAUUAGAAAGAAGAGAAAACGAAGAAAUUAAUAAUAUGAGCCAAAAAAUUGACAAAAGCCAUCUAGCAAAUAGAUAAUAUUUAGUAUGAUGUUAUUUUUUUAAAAAAUUUUUAGUAUUAAGUUGUUUAGUGUAUAUUUUUUAAUUCUUUAUAAGGUUUUCUCUUUCUGUUGAGGAUAUUUCAUAUUAUCAAGUAAAGUUAAAUCACAUGGAUAUAGACGGUCUCAUAUUUUAUCCUUUUUUAUUGUCACAAUUUUAUUAUGACGUCAAACUUUUCUAAACAAAAUCAUAUAUUUACGUAUCUCAUACUAUAUGUUUACGUAUUAUAUAUAUCGUUCAUAUAUUUACGUAACUAUAUAGUUUUAUUUUUUCUUAUUGUCAUUGUUUUGUUUUUAUCUUGCCCACAUUGAAAUUGUAAGAUGUAACACACUCUUCUGAUGGAUGUAAAUAACUUAUUAAAAUUCAAUAAUACAACAUAUGAAUAUUUAUGACUUCAUAACUUAUAAUAAGUAAAGAAUUAUAUAAUUUUAUAAAUAGACUAACAUUUAUAUUAGAUGACUUAAUAAUUAGUAUAACAUAACUACAAAUAAUGUUUCAUAUUGCGUAUUAUGCUAAUAAAUUUAUAUUUAGAAAUAAUUAUGCUGCAUUUUUUAAAAUAUAUAUGUUUAUAGAAUUUUAGUUAAGCUAACAAAAAUAAAAUAAAAAUGUUAAGAAUGAUAAUCUCGACCUGCAAUUCGUGCAACGCACGGUCUAUAUCUAGUUUAUAAUGAAGUAGGGUUAGGUAUGGCUACUUUUAUGACGACAGGUGGGAGAUGAGGAGAUAAGUGUACGUGUAUGUUUUGGAUUGGUGCAACAAAUGCUACUGGUCCCAUAAUGUUUAUAAUUGACAAUAUUUUUCACUUACACCACUCGUUUUUAGAGCACGUUGAGGCUGUGUGCUAAAACUAGAAUUUGGCGUUUUGUUGUUUAUUUUAAUUCUUAUCUUUGGCUUUUGUGCUUGUAAAUUUUGAAUUAUAGUUUCGUUAGAGAAUACUAUGAAGUUGUUCUACAUUACUAGAAAAAUAUAUCUGAAUAUGUUGAAUUGUUGAUGUGAGUAUAACUCAUGUUUGCGGAAAUAAUUUAAACUUUUUUUUUUGAUAAUUGGCAAAGCCAAUAGUGCAAAACGUGAUAUUUGAUAAACGAGUAAUUGGCAGCAGCUUCCGCAGUGGGCAACAAGAGAUAGGUACGUGUAUUGUGUAGGUUGAAUCAUACGAGAUGAAAUAUGUCGGUAAGAUAAGAAAUGUGAGGUAUGCAAGUAUAGACGUUAAAUAAUACGUCUGAAUGUUUUACAUUGUUACAUAUCACAUAGCUUUUUCCUCUUGAUGAAAGCCUUCCUCAAAUUCGAGAAAUCCAUCAUGAAUGUUUGAUCUAGAUCCAUUUUUGUUCCAAGUUAUUAAACAAGCUUUUUAAUGAAAGCCUUUGAUUUAGACUCUACCUAAAUGUUUGAUUUCAGAACAAUUCAAACCAUUUUUAUAUGUUUUUUUUUUUUUUUUUUUUUUUUUUUUUUUUAGAAAACGAACCAUUUUUAUAUGUUUACCGAUGAAAACAUAGCUACCUACCAAAAUAUCCAAAUAUUUAGUACAAAACCUUCUUGAAUAUAUUUCAAAACAAGUUUUGUGGUGAAAACCGUUCAAAAUAUUUUUGAUAUCCAAGAUUCUAAUAAGAAAACAAUAAAUACCAUAUGAAAACAAGUAAUCAAACUCAAAAUACUUCAACCUCAUUUAGCAUGUAUAGAUGUCAAGUGAAACCUUCAAUCUUGUAUCUUAUAACUACGUGUUCUACUUCCUCCACAUAUGUUGAUUUGGUUCUUUCCCACGAUCAUAUAACUUUUUGGCAAUGGAACCAUCAGAUUAAAAUAAUCCCCAUGUUUUACCAUGCCAAAAUGUUUUUUUUUUUUUUUAUAAAUCCUAUCAGCGGAUCCGGUUAGCCCCGAUAGAAAUGCACCGAAGUGCUUUAGAGUGGACUUCUUCCCGAAGGACCACCACACUGUCUGUCCCGAGUUUAGAAUGUUUUCCGACUAAUGGCAGGGGUAGCCAGAUCGCCUGUUACUGGACUACCAGAUAAACUGCCUGAGCCUUUGGCCCAAGCGACUUCCCACACAGAUUUGCUUUUUGUUUUCAGAGUGGAUCGAACUUGGGUUAGUUCCUUCAAACAUUUCUCCAAUUCCCAACUACCACUGGACCACAGCUGUGUAGGCUACCCUCCAAAAAUGUAUGAGACAAGAUUAAGGGAGACCUUCCAUAAUUAUAUGGAGUUCUUUUUUUUUUUCUUUUUGAAUUUUAAAAUCGCCAAAAAUUAUCAAAAACAAGCCAUAUAUGUUCAUAUAAAUUCAACGAGCAAUAGCAAAAUCUUAUUCUGAACACAUUUACAAGACAAAACAAAUCUUAACCAAGUCACCAAACCAAGUUUAAUAUAUAAACUAUAACAUAAGCAAACAAACAAGUCUAAUAAUCGUGAUAUGUAUAAACUAAUCUCCUCUAUAAACAAAUGGGAAUACGUUUAAUAUAGUAUCACAAACAAAAGUAGUAAACAUAUUGUUCAUGAAAUCAGAAUCUAAACGUCAUUGGAGUACAAACCAUUGCAUUUUCAUGAAAUCAAAACCUAUAAAAAUAACAUUCAAUUAUGCUAAGCAAUCAAUCUACUUUAAGAUCGACACAAAAUGAAAGAUGAGAAAAAAUGGGUACUAACUUGAAUUAAUAAGCGCUUUGUUACAGAUCACGUUGGAGAUAAACUUGAAUUUUUACCACAAAUUGAAACAGUUUGAGAAAAAUGAAAGCCCGAAAAACUCUUUCUUCUGUUGUUUUAGAAUCCUAAAUCGAAACCAAAAUCAAAAUAAGAGUUUCACAUCCCGAUCGGGAAUUGAUUUGUUUUAGUAUCGAAACCAAAACUAAAAAAGAGCUUCCAUCAAUGAAGCGGUUAGAAAAUCUUAUUAUGAAAUCGAGCUUGUAAGUGCACUCUAUACCAGGAGCUCAGAUAAGUGCACAAGUUGCCGGAACAGGAUUGAAGCUGUUCUUGGAUACAGGAGUAAUGACUAAGUAAUUGUCGCUGACGUGGAAUAGGCGCCAAAUGAAUGAAUGACGUGGUGAUCACAACAGGAUAAGUUCAGUUUGGCAAGAAGAUAUUCGAUGGAGAUUUGGAGAGAUCCAAGAUCGAGAAGACUAAACCUAGAAGAUCUGAAGACCUCGUGAAUAUAAAAGGGGUGCUAAGGCUCUUGCUAGGGUUAGCCGUUUCUGAAGCAAAAAAAGUAUCGCAAGCUUUUUUGUUCUGUUAGAGAGUAAGCUUUACUCUGUUUGAGUUGCAAGAGAGAUUAGAGAGUGUGUUCUUGUAAUUCUCUUGUGAGUCUUAGAAAUCUCAGGUGACAAGCCAAAAGUAGUUUUAGGUCUUGUGUAAAACCAGUUAAGAGAGUUGUAUCUUCUUAACCAGAUUUCUAAUAAAGUAAUACUCAGUGUUUCUGAGUUUGGGAAAUACGGUUCUGAGUUCAUCCAAAUUUCACUUGGUAUCAGAGCAGGCAUCUGAACUAAGUUGAGAUCAUACAUUGUUAAGAAGAUACAACUCUCUUAACUGGUUGAUAGUGAAUCUGAAGAUGACGAUUCAGAUGAUGAUGUGAAAGGUUUCGUUUCCUUUAUAGGAAUCAUAGAAGAAAACUCUGACAGUGAUGUAGAAGACAGAGAUAGUAUUGUCCAAGCUGAUGAUGAAUCAGAAAUGGAGAAGGAUCUUGAUAUUGAUGGACAGUUCAGGAAAAUGUAUGACAACUGGUGUCUUCUGAGUAAAGAGAAGAUUGCUUGGAUGGAAGAGAAGCUAGCAAUUUUGGAACUAAAUGAAAAACUGAAAGCUGACUUGGCUCUGGAGAAUCAGAAGAAUAGUGAACUCGUUCAGAAACUCGGGUUGGAAGAGGAGAAUGUCAGAGUGCUUACUCAAGAACUCAGCGAUACCCGCAAGAAGAUACACAUGUUGAACAGUGGAACAAAGGACUUGGAUAGCAUCUUAGCUUCUGGAAGAACAGGAAAAUCCAACUUUGGAUUGGGGUAUCAAGGAGGAGAAACAAGUGGUAAGACGAAUUUUGUUCGAAGCAAAGCUGUACCUGGUGUUCGAAGUCAGACAUGAUUCAGAAACCAGACCAGAGCUGUUCCAGCAAGACAACAGUAUCAGAACUACAAUUAUCGUCAGACAGGGUUUCAAAACCAGACUGGAGCUGUUCCAGCAAGACGAUAGUACCAGAACUUCAAUCACAGUCACUAUCACAGGUCAGUGACAGGUUACGAAUGCUACUACUGUGGACGACAUGGUCACAUUCAGAGAUUCUGCUACAGAUAUGCAGCUAAGGUAAACCAGCUGAAACGACAAGGUAAGCUCUAUCCACAUCAACACAGAGCUUCAAAGAUGUAUGUUAAGAGGGACGAUCUGUACUGUCAUGUAGCAUACAUUUCAGCUGAAGCAGGUGGGUCAAGGCCGUGGUACUUUGACAGUGGAGCAUCUCGACACAUGACGGGAAGUCAUUCUAAUCUUAACAACUACACUACUGUUAAGGAGAGUAAAGUCACAUUCGGUGGUGGAGCUAAAGGAAGAAUUAGAGGAAAAGGAGACUUGACUGAAGCUGAGAAACCGCAACUCACAAAUGUUUACUUUGUGGAGGGACUUACUGCAAAUUUGAUAAGUGUAAGUCAGCUAUGUGAUGAAGGAUCAACAGUGAGCUUCAACAGAGUCAAGUGUUGGGCUACAGAUGAGAAGAAUCAGAAUGCUCUUUCAGGUGUUAGAACCGGUAACAACUGCUACAUGUGGGAAGAACCAAAAGUUUGUCUUAGAGCUGAAAAAGAUGACCCUGUCUUAUGGCAUCAACGCCUUGGCCACAUGAAUGUCAGAAGCAUGUCCAAGCUGGUCAAUAAGGAAAUGGUUAGAGGUGUACCGGAGUUAAAGCAUCUUGACAAGAUCGUGUGUAGUGCUUGCAACCAAGGAAAAGAGAUUAGAGUUCAACACAAGAAGGUGGAGGGAGUGCAGACCACUCAAGUUUUAGAUCUCAUUCACAUGGAUCUAAUGGGACCAAUGCAGACAGAAAGCAUUGCCGGAAAGAGAUAUGUUUUUGUCUUGGUUGAUGACUUCUCACGUUAUACUUGGGUAAGAUUUAUCAGGGAAAAAUCUGAGACUGCCAACAGCUUCAAGAUCUUAGCUCUUCAGCUGAAAAAUGAGAAGAAGAUGGGAAUAAAACAAAUCAGAAGUGAUCGCGGAGGUGAGUUUCUAAGUGAAGCCUUUAACAGCUUCUGUGAGUCUCAAGGAAUUUUCCACCAAUACUCAGCACCUAGAACUCCACAGUCUAAUGGUGUUGUUGAAAGGAAAAAUCGAACUCUUCAAGAAAUGGCCAGAGCCAUGAUUCAUGGGAAUGGAGUCCCUGAGAAGUUUUGGGCUGAUGCCAUUAGUACUGCAUGCUAUGUCAUAAACCGAGUGUAUGUCAGGAUAGGGUCUGAUAAAACUCCCUAUGAGAUCUGGAAGGGGAAGAAGCCAAAUCUAAGUUACUUCCGAGUAUUUGGAUGUGUCUGUUACAUCAUGAAUGAUAAGGAUCAGCUGGGAAAAUUUGAUUCUCGCAGUGAAGAAGGUUUCUUUCUUGGUUAUGCUACCAACAGUUUGGCAUAUCGAGUUUGGAACAAGAGGAGGGGAAAGAUAGAAGAGUCAAUGAACGUUGUCUUUGAUGAUGGAAGUAUGCCCACUUUGCAAAUAAUUGCAAGUAAUAGUGGUGAAGCUCACAACUUAACUCCAAGGAUCCAAGAAGUGGAAGGAAAUGAGAAUCAAAAUGUCAGUGAAGCAAAUGAAUCAGAAGAAGAAUCUGAUGAGGAAGUUCACUCAAUCCAAGUACACCGUAAUCAUUCUGCUGGGGAUGUAAUCGGAGAUCUGAAUGGUGAAAGAGUAACAAGAGGGAUAAAACAGAACUACAGACAAAUGGCUUCGUUUGCAGGCUUUGAAGAGAUCAUGUUUUCAUGUUUUGUUUCCAUGACAGAACCUAAGAAUGUCAAAGAAGCUUUGGAUGAUCAUUUCUGGAUUCUUGCAAUGGAGGAUGAAUUAGAAGAAUUCUCAAGAAAUCAAGUUUGGUAUUUGGUUCCAUGGCCUCCAAAAGUGAAUGUUAUUGGAACUAAGUGGAUCUUCAAAAACAAAAGUGAUGAAGAAGGAAAUAUCAUCAGAAACAAAGCUAGGCUCGUGGCACAAGGAUACACUCAAGUUGAGGGACUAGACUACGAUGAAACCUUUGCUCCGGUUGCAAGGCUCGAAUGCAUAAGGUUUCUUCUUGGCACAGCAUGUGGUAUGGGGUUUAAACUGCAGCAGAUGGAUGUCAAGAGCGCCUUUUUGAAUGGCAUCAUACAGGAGGAAGUGUAUGUAGAGCAGCCCAAAGGAUUUGAGAGUCUUGAGUUUCCGGAUCAUGUGUUUAAAUUGGAAAAAGCUCUGUACGGUUUGAAACAAGCACCUCGUGCAUGGUAUGAGAGACUUACUACUUUUCUGACAGUGGAAGGAUACAUACGUGGGAGUGUUGAUAAGACUCUGUUUGUCAAAAGGGAUAGUCAUGGGAUGAUCAUCAUACAAAUUUAUGUAGAUGAUAUCGUUUUUGGAGGAACAUCCGACAAACUUGUCAAAUCAUUUGUAAAGGCAAUGACAACUGAGUUCAGGAUGAGUAUGGUAGGAGAACUCAAGUAUUUUUUGGGGUUGCAAGUGAACCAGACGGAUGAAGGCAUUACCAUCUCACAGAGCACAUAUGCCCAAAAUCUUGUAAAACGGUUUGGAAUGUGUUCUAGCAAGUCCGCCAGAACUCCCAUGAGUACUACGUUGAAACUCUCCAAGGAUGAGGCUGGUGAAAAGGUGGAUGAAAAGGCAUACAGAGGUAUGAUUGGAAGUCUCCUCUAUCUCACUGCAAGUAGGCCGGACUUAUGUCUCAGCGUAGGACUGUGUGCAAGAUAUCAAGCCAAUCCCAAGGCUUCUCACUUAGCAGCUGUGAAGAGAAUUGUCAAAUAUGUGAAAGGAACAGUGAACUACGGGCUUAGUUACACCAGGGAUACUAGUCUGGCACUAGUUGGCUACUGUGACGCUGACUGGGCAGGGAAUCUUGAUGAUCGUCGGAGUACUACUGGUGGUUGUUUUUUUCUAGGAAACAAUCUCAUCUCAUGGCACAGUAAGAAGCAAAAUUCUGUAGCACUGUCUACAGCCGAGUCUGAAUAUAUUGCCCUUGGCAGCUGCUGCACUCAACUCCUCUGGAUGAAACAAAUGGGCCUGGAUUAUGGUAUUUCAUUUCCUGAACCUUUACUUGUUAAAUGUGAUAAUCAAAGUGCAAUUGACAUCUCUAAGAAUCCUGUGCAGCAUUCUAGAACUAAACACAUUGAGAUAAGGCAUCAUUUUGUUAGAGAAUUAGUUGAAGAGAAACAAGUUAUCAUAGAACAUGUACCCACUGGAAUCCAACUUGCUGAUAUUUUCACUAAGCCUUUAGACUUUGACACGUUUGUGAACUUGCAAAAGUCCCUGGGUGUUUGUGAACUCUGACUAUCUUCUCGUUGAGUGUUUGUGCUGAAACAGGGUUGGUUGUACAGUGAGAAGUGUGUUUUUCAAAAUAUUUCUGUGAUUCACAAGUGUUUUGUUUAAAAUUUUUUGCUGAAAAGUUCAUCAAGAGAAAGAGCUACCUAUCAUGUGUUGGAGCUGCAAAGUCAGUAAAUUGUGUGAUGGACAAUGUGUGUAGAGCAUUCAGGAAGGCGUGAAAUGCAGAAAGGAGCAGAAAAAGCAUUUCAUGUCAUAAGAUGAAGCAUGAGCUUAUCUAAGUCACGGGGGACAAAGGAGAAAUCUUGUCACUAACCCGAGGGAACAAAGGAGAAAUCUUGUUUACCUAACAAUAUGUGAGAGGAGCAAACAUCAAUCAAAAUAAAAGAGGUUCAAAAGCAGUCUUGUCAUAAAAAAAAAAAAAAGGAACUGUUGUCCUCUGGUUGCAAUCUUCUCUCACUGCAGAAAGGAGCAGUAAGAUGCACAUUCACAAGGUCUGAAACGCUUUCUCAGCCUUGUGGUUACAUAGAGCCUGAAUGCUGCUGCACAGUCUAUCACAUUCCUUGUCAAAGGACUCGCUAGCUCUCUGAUCCAUGACAGUGUGAAGACUACUCUUGAAGAAUCAACAUUCUCAUAUGUGUUGGAACAGCAGAUUAUGUGUUUUAAAAAAAAAAAAAAAAAAAAAAAAAAGGAGCUUCGCACUGUACAAUUAGCUUUGGGACUGCACAGAUGUCAACAUGUGGAAGAGACGGUUGCUGUUCUGAGUACACUGAUAGGGACUUGUUCUAUGUCAAUCACUGUCUUGCGUCAGAAAAUUGAGUUGGAUCUUCAGAGGUACCGUGUUUAAAAAUUUUUUUUAAAAAAAUUAAGAACUCUGUGUGUUUCUUUUAGUGCUUUCUCUGAUUGAUUCUUGAUUAAACCGGUUUUAUACCCGGUUAGCACUAAUUUUUGGUUUUGAGUUUUUUGUUUGUCUAACAGGAGAACACGCGGGAUAUCACAAGUUUUUGUGUUUCUUUCUCUUUGAGAGUCGUUCCCAAUUCCUCUCUCAAACCCUAGCCAUGGCGAGAACUCGCGCUGCUGCUAAGCGCUCUCAUCCCGAUCGAUUGGAGCUCAAUGAUUCCGACAGCUCAAUUGAGGAAGUUCCCCCGAAAGCAGCCCUUCGAUCCUCGAGUUCUGCUCCGCCACCAGAUGCUGCGGCUGACUCCGGCCCUGCUCCGUUAGACAAAUCGAUGCCAUCUUCUUCGAAAGCGGCUGGCCACAAAUCUGCACCGUCCUCCUCGCAUCCCCCAAUCAACGAUCCGGUGCCAGAUCUGCUGAAGAACUUCAUGAAGACCCGCGGGAACGUUCCGUACGACUCAUCAGACCGCUGCAGCAUGCACCGCUAUCAUCAGGCAAAGAGGGAUGCGGCUGACCCUUCGAUUUGGAAGCUGCCCUAUGCUCCGAUGAACUUUCGCUUCCUCACAUCUCAGGGAAUUGAAAGGUACAAAGAUUUCACACACCGUGAAUUUCAUGACCAGAGGUAUGUUCCGCGUGGUCCUGCUAGUACUACUGAGAUGAUGAAAUUGAUAGAGGAGAAUCACCUGUCUGACACUGUUAGUGAGAUUGAUCCGUAUGUCAAAGAAGUUGUGCUGGAAUUUUACUCAAAUUUCCACAUAUUCAAUGAGGUAACCAAGAAGUCGCCUGUGUUUGUUCAAGGGAAAAUGUACGAAUUCUCACCACAGAUGAUCAACAAAGCGUUUCGUACUCCUGCUAUCAAGUGGCAUGCCAAGGCUGAGUAUGAAAGAGCUGCAUUGUCGAAGCAUGCCUUGGCUAAGUAUCUGUCAGAAGGUAAAGUUGUUACCUGGAAGGACCUGCGUACUCCUGUGAUGCCUACACAUCUGGCUGGCCUGUACUUGAUUUGCUGCAUUAAUUGGCUUCCAUCAAAGAACAAUUCAAAUGUGACAAUUGAUCGGGCUAAGCUUUUGUAUCUUAUCAAUGAGAAAAUCCCUUUCAAUUAUGGGAAGCUGGUAUAUGAUCAAGUGGAAAGAGCUGCUCGCUUUCCAGGUCAGAUUCUAAACAUUCUGCCAUUCCCGAACUUGAUCUAUCGGGUACUUAUGUUUCAGAGGGAGAUUACCUUGGAGAACUUUGAAAAACCUGAUCCACCUCCAAAGAAGUUCAAUCCAGAAGUGAGAGGUGGUAUAGAUCACCCAAGACGUCGAGGAGAGUAUGUGUUUGGAACCUCAUUGGCAGGAGACCUGAGACACGCAUCCACUCUCCUGCUGAACAUGGCUGUUCGGUUGGAAGGUACGUUUUCAAGUUUCUUUACUGGAGUCUUGAGUGCAUAGGUGUAAUCCUGGUAGAAGUUUUGUUUUUGACUCAAUUGUGUCAUACAAGCAGGGGGAGAUUAUGGGUUAGUACAGCCUUCUUCUGAUCAGUCUCAGGGUGUGAAUGCUGAUGCCGAGGCUCAAGGUUCUGAACCUGAAGCUGAUGACUCUUAUGCUGAGCCCGUUGAUGAAGGCUGGCCUUCAGAGAACUCUAAUUCGGAUUCAUUUGUGGAUUCAUUGGAUGUUGACAAUGAAGAAGGGUUUGAAGACACUCAGUCAGGAUAAUAUAGACUAGUUUUGGAGACUGAGUGGUCUAGGAUUUAGGGGGAGUCUUAACUUUUGGCAUUACUUCGGAUUGUUUUUGUAUGUAUGCCAUGUUUUCUCUGUUUUUCAGUAUCUUGCGAACAAGGAUCCUGUGUCUGAAUAUUUUUCGGAGUUAAGACUUAAUUUUAAUAAUUCCGCUGUGCCUUGUUUUUCGUUGAUAUGAUGUGUGCUUGUGAAUCUUGAGAGAAUCAUUGCAGGAUGGCUUGAAUUGACAAAUUGAAUCAAAAAGGGGGAGAUUGUAAGUGCACUCUAUACCAGGAGCUCAGAUAAGUGCACAAGUUGCCGGAACAGGAUUGAAGCUGUUCUUGGAUACAGGAGUAAUGACUAAGUAAUUGUCGCUGACGUGGAAUAGGCGCCAAAUGAAUGAAUGACGUGGUGAUCACAACAGGAUAAGUUCAGUUUGGCAAGAAGAUAUUCGAUGGAGAUUUGGAGAGAUCCAAGAUCGAGAAGACUAAACCUAGAAGAUCUGAAGACCUCGUGAAUAUAAAAGGGGUGCUAAGGCUCUUGCUAGGGUUAGCCGUUUCUGAAGCAAAAAAAGUAUCGCAAGCUUUUUUGUUCUGUUAGAGAGUAAGCUUUACUCUGUUUGAGUUGCAAGAGAGAUUAGAGAGUGUGUUCUUGUAAUUCUCUUGUGAGUCUUAGAAAUCUCAGGUGACAAGCCAAAAGUAAUUUUAGGUCUUGUGUAAAACCAGUUAAGAGAGUUGUAUCUUCUUAACCAGAUUUCUAAUAAAGUAAUACUCAGUGUUUCUGAGUUUGGGAAAUACGGUUCUGAGUUCAUCCAAAUUUCAGAGCUUACCUUGAGUUUUAAAUCCAAAAUGGAUGACGGGAUUAGGUUGCAGUGAGAGAGGGUGAAAAAGAUUUAUAGGUUUUGUGUAGAAAAGAUGAUGAUUGCGAGAAUCGGGCGAGAAUGUGAAAUGGUAACGAAAACAGCGAGCACGAGAACCCGGCGAAGCGACGAGAAUCCGGCGAUUUUUAGGUCAUUAUUAUGGCAACGAGAAUCUGGCGGUUUGAGAUAUGUUUUGGCAAUUUCGUCAAUUGUGGCCCGUUUGGUCUUUGUGGCUCAAUAACGCAUCUUUGAAAAUUGCCGGUUAGAUAUAAACUUGUGUUAUAUGUUGAAUUUCAGAAUUUUGGUGCUAAAUUUGGAAAUAAAAUAUAAUAUUGUGCUAUUUUGUCAAUUAUCCAAAAAAAUAUAUUCAAUGGCAAUAAUUUAAAUAAUUGUUUUUGUUGUAUAUUUAUUUCUUUUUAAUUAAUAAUUUUGUUUUAUUAUUGAAGAGAAAAAGUGUAGGACCCACAUAUCUGAAAAAUGAAACAAAAAUUCCUACAAAUUGUAAAACAUAUUGAAGAACAAAGAGGAACAUGAUAUUCCUACUUAUUUUUUCCUUAAAAAUGGUUAUCAAUUCGAGUUUUACUUUUUUGUAGGAUUAUAUAUUUCUCCCGUGCAACAUCAACGAGUGAUAUUCUUAUUUUUUAUACUGUACAAUAAUUAAACGUGUUUUACUUUAAUCUAUGAGAUUGUGACAUUAUGCCAUACAUCAUAAACAUAUUUUACAUCCUAUAUUGCAAAAUUAUAGCAAAAUUUUUGUUCCAAAUUUUUCGAAAUUCAUUUUUGUUUUAUUUAACUAUUAACUGCUAAAUUAUUUUUUUUCAAUUCACUUUGUUUUUUCUUUUUAUUAAAUUCAAAUUGUCAUGGCCAGUUGAUUAAAUACUUCCUAUAAAGAAAAACAACAUUUAGUACAAAGUCUUUGUACUUAUUAAGUUACGAUAGGAUAUCACAUAUACAAACAACAUUCCUUACGAAUAACUUUUUUGAACUCUAAUUAAUUUAGGAUAACAAGAAAAAAAAAAGAUAUGAUAGACAUUUUAUUUAUGCACCGGUGCCAAAACGGCUACAAAGAUAAACGAAACGACAUAGAUAUGAAGCGGAUACAAGGGGACAAAGCCAUGAUGAUAGAUAGAUGCUUAAGAAGGUACGUAGUAGAGUGGAUUUGGGAGCUUAAAAACCCUUCCAGGAGUAUCCUCAACCAAAUCAGCCCAUUGGUCUCCAAUAUUGCCAACGAUGUUGUAUCCUUUCUUCACCAGGCUCUUCCUCACCUUUGACUUGUACACCACUUGCC